UACGUAGGGUGCAAGCGUUGUCCGGAAUUAUUGGGCGUAAAGAGCUCGUAGGCGGUUUGUCGCGUCUGCUGUGAAAACCCGAGGCUCAACCUCGGGCCUGCAGUGGGUACGGGCAGACUAGAGUGCGGUAGGGGAGAUUGGAAUUCCUGGUGUAGCGGUGGAAUGCGCAGAUAUCAGGAGGAACACCGGUGGCGAAGGCGGCAUCCUGGACCGACACUGACGCUGAGGAGCGAAAGCCAGGGGAGCAAACGGG
rnacentral:rRNA from 1 species